AUUGGCCAAAAGAAGUGUUGUGUCUAGAAAUGUUCGCACAUGAAUCGUCAUAGGGCGUGCUACCCAUUGCUGGUCUCACCCAUGGGUCUUUAGCAUUGUAAUUACUGCUAUGAACCGCCGAAUACCUACCACAGCUUUAAGCUACUGGCUUUCCUGGGCUCUUCUCCAGCUUUCCAUGAGGACUACAGUGCAUCUCAUUUCAAGUAACCAACUGGUAAUCAAUAACCUGUGUGAAAAACACAAGAGGCAAGUAGCAGGAGAUAGAGCAGUGCAGAGUUGUGGACACCGUCCCGGAGUUGAAGAUUGCCUGCUCCUGCUUAACUCGAAUCUUGACCAGGUGAAUUAACUUCUCUAAGCCUCAGUUUUCCUUCCUGUGGAUUUCAGCUUUAUUCCACAUCUCCUGUCCGUCCAUUCCACAUCACACUCAAACUGAGGGCUCCCCUCAAUGCCCACGUCGCCUCUCCUCGGCUUUGCUUGUGUGGUGUGUUCUGCCUUGAAUGCCGUUUCCUGUCACUAAAUAUCCAAAUCUUGCCUAUUGAGAAAUUAAGCGAAACACUGCCUUUCCCACAAGGCCUCCCCUCUGCCCCACAGAAACAAUCGCAUCCUCUCUGAGCUUCCCGGACGCCGAUCUUUGGCUUCCUUGUAACCCUUCACAUUUCGUUUAUAGUCAUUGCUCUAAGUCCUAUCUCCCAAAAAAGUAAACUCCCCAAAGACACAGUCUCCAUCUGCAUCUUCUUCCUUACCAAUCUGGUACACUUUGAGUGCUGGAAAAAUAUUUGUUGAAUGAAUCAAUCAAUAACAAACUAUGCGCAUUUAAAGAAAAAUUUAUAUGAAAUAUCUACGCUCAAUUAACAAAUAAGAAAUUUAGAUGAACUAGCCGCACUAAAGCAAAGAUUUUGCCUUCUAU
rnacentral:lncRNA from 1 species